UCUGAACUCUGAGCUCAAAUCAGGUAGGACUACCCGCUGAACUUAAGCAUAUCAAUAAGCGGAGGA
rnacentral:rRNA from 1 species